AUUCGAUAGCUCAUAGAUGACUCGCAAUAUUUGAUUGCAAUAGUAUGUGUACAUGUACAAUGUUGCCAUUUUCAAUGUUCUCACGAGCGUGGGUUCCGAAUUAGGUGGAUAACCCUGCAAUUCCAAUUUAAAAUAUUAUGUCGCUCCACUUUAAGGAAUAUGGGUGUCUAUGCCGAUCAUUUUUUAUCCGAAAUGUUCAAAGCAAAUCCUACAAAAAAUACGAAUAGAAGGAAAAGGUUAAAGAAGAAUACCGUGCCGGAACCAUCAAAAUAUUUCUUUACUAAAUAAAGAAGAAAAAGAAGAUGUAUAAGAAAGACAGCUUGUAAUCGAAAAACAGCUGAUGAAAAAAGAAGGGCAAGACGAAGAAGGGCAUCAACAUCACCACUAUCAACAACAGCAGAGGUAAAUAUUAGUGAUUUGGAAAAAAUACAAUGUUCCAGUUUUAUUUCUAUUAAAUGCAUAAUAGUAUAUAUUCGCACGAGAAGAGGAAGACGAAUCAAGAAGAAGAGGAUGAAUACCGACAUCUUCCCCUGAGAAGAGGACGCUUCGUUGCAGAAGGCGAGAAUGCCGUUUCCCGUUGACUCUUUUAUGCAUAAGAUAAGGCAAUCAAUCACUGUGAAGUCAGCCUACAAAACAAUCGUGUUCCGAAUUCCACAGUUUCUGAAGAAUCAAUUCCUUCAACUAUUCUGAAAGAGAGCUUUUCGUUAAAGCUAAAGAAGAUCCGCGCUCGAGAAGACAUAAAAAAGAAGAGCGCAUGCAUGUAUCAAGAGUCAAGAGGAAGGGCAAAGAUCAAUUUAGAUUUUCUCAACGGCAGAAAUUUAUUUAUUUUCUUUAUUUUUUGUUAGUAAAUUAUUAUAUUCUAACAGUUUGUAUUAUUUCUAACUCUGCUUUAUGUGUCAUCGUUCAAAAAUAUAGUAAACAAUUAAUUUCUUUUUCUCAAUUUACAA
rnacentral:lncRNA from 1 species